CUGUGAGGCCAGGCAGAAAUGGCUUGGCAGAGGACCCAGCGAGCCCAGAGGGAUUUUGCCGCUGCUUCCUCUACCCCUGUAUUUCACUCAGCUCUCUAAAUUGACUCAGCUCCAGGUUCAAACAACUAGGACAGCAUUUGCCACAUUAUUGUUCCACUAAUGAACCACCUCAGUGUUUUUCCAGUUCCUGGUGUAGCACCUGGCACACAGAUGGCACUCUAAAGUUUAUAAAUGAAUAAUAUCUGAUGAAAACAUCAAAGCUGCUUUCUAGAUUUGUGGAGAUUGCCCAGAUAAAUGAAGUCACGGUAAAGGAACCAUAAUUAUCAUGUUAUCUAGACCUGAUACAUUGUAGAUGAAGAAACAUGUCGACAGAGCCACUAUCUGCCCAACAUCUGAUAGGUAGUCAUAGUCACAGUGGAACUGAGACUAAGGUUUCCAUUUUUAUUUGACUAUGCUUCUUCCCAAGGCUAGUGUGAGAAACACCAACGGCAGGCCCAUCUCAGAUCUUCACUAUGGCAACUUAUGCAAGAAACUGUUGAAUUAGACCCGUUUCCUAUAGAUGAGAAACCAUACAAGCUGUGGUAUUUAUGAGCCUCCAUUUCUUAUACUACUGCAGUGAACCAACAUUGGAUGUGAAAAUUGCCUUUUGUCAGGUGUGUGUUCCUUACAGGUAAAACAAGGGAUUCGAUAAACAAGUGGAUGUGUCAUAUAUUGCCAAACAUUACAACAUGAGCAAAAGCAAAGUUGACAACCAGUUCUACAGUGUGGAAGUGGGAGACUCAACCUUCACAGUUCUCAAGCGCUACCAGAAUCUAAAGCCUAUUGGCUCUGGGGCUCAGGGCAUAGUUUGGUAAGUGGAAUGGAUUUGCUGUAUUUUUAAAGGGAACACACCGUGUGCAACUACUAGACACAAACACACAAACAAACAAAAUCCCCAAAAUAAAUAGCAUAAUUUGGGAGGGAAAAAUAAUCCUAUUGAAGAAAAAAAA
rnacentral:sRNA from 1 species